rnacentral:rRNA from 2 species
UGCAAGUCGAACGAACUCUGGUAUUGAUUGGUGCUUGCAUCAUGAUUUACAUUUGAGUGAGUGGCGAACUGGUGAGUAACACGUGGGAAACCUGCCCAGAAGCGGGGGAUAACACCUGGAAACAGAUGCUAAUACCGCAUAACAACUUGGACCGCAUGGUCCGAGCUUGAAAGAUGGCUUCGGCUAUCACUUUUGGAUGGUCCCGCGGCGUAUUAGCUAGAUGGUGGGGUAACGGCUCACCAUGGCAAUGAUACGUAGCCGACCUGAGAGGGUAAUCGGCCACAUUGGGACUGAGACACGGCCCAAACUCCUACGGGAGGCAGCAGUAGGGAAUCUUCCACAAUGGACGAAAGUCUGAUGGAGCAACGCCGCGUGAGUGAAGAAGGGUUUCGGCUCGUAAAACUCUGUUGUUAAAGAAGAACAUAUCUGAGAGUAACUGUUCAGGUAUUGACGGUAUUUAACCAGAAAGCCACGGCUAACUACGUGCCAGCAGCCGCGGUAAUACGUAGGUGGCAAGCGUUGUCCGGAUUUAUUGGGCGUAAAGCGAGCGCAGGCGGUUUUUUAAGUCUGAUGUGAAAGCCUUCGGCUCAACCGAAGAAGUGCAUCGGAAACUGGGAAACUUGAGUGCAGAAGAGGACAGUGGAACUCCAUGUGUAGCGGUGAAAUGCGUAGAUAUAUGGAAGAACACCAGUGGCGAAGGCGGCUGUCUGGUCUGUAACUGACGCUGAGGCUCGAAAGUAUGGGUAGCAAACAGGAUUAGAUACCCUGGUAGUCCAUACCGUAAACGAUGAAUGCUAAGUGUUGGAGGGUUUCCGCCCUUCAGUGCUGCAGCUAACGCAUUAAGCAUUCCGCCUGGGGAGUACGGCCGCAAGGCUGAAACUCAAAGGAAUUGACGGGGGCCCGCACAAGCGGUGGAGCAUGUGGUUUAAUUCGAAGCUACGCGAAGAACCUUACCAGGUCUUGACAUACUAUGCAAAUCUAAGAGAUUAGACGUUCCCUUCGGGGACAUGGAUACAGGUGGUGCAUGGUUGUCGUCAGCUCGUGUCGUGAGAUGUUGGGUUAAGUCCCGCAACGAGCGCAACCCUUAUUAUCAGUUGCCAGCAUUAAGUUGGGCACUCUGGUGAGACUGCCGGUGACAAACCGGAGGAAGGUGGGGAUGACGUCAAAUCAUCAUGCCCCUUAUGACCUGGGCUACACACGUGCUACAAUGGAUGGUACAACGAGUUGCGAACUCGCGAGAGUAAGCUAAUCUCUUAAAGCCAUUCUCAGUUCGGAUUGUAGGCUGCAACUCGCCUACAUGAAGUCGGAAUCGCUAGUAAUCGCGGAUCAGCAUGCCGCGGUGAAUACGUUCCCGGGCCUUGUACACACCGCCCGUCACACCAUGAGAGUUUGUAACACCCAAAGUCGGUGGGGUAACCUUUUAGGAACCAGCCGCCUAA